rnacentral:misc_RNA from 1 species
UAGCCGUCGGAGCCGAGCAGUUGUCGAGCGACAAGCAAAGCGAGCGCACACCUGAUUUUUAACCUCGUAUCAAGUGUGUUUUUUCAUUUGAGUUUAAGUUAUCAAUUUUUUUUUUCAUUUCAUCCGAUUGUAUAUUUUUUUCAUUUGUUUCGCCACUGUAUUUUUUUAGUCUUGUUUCAUUCACCCGUCUCCAGUAAACCAAAUUAAUAACUUUUUUCCUUCGUAGUCGUAUUUCGUGUUAUUUAAAUGGAGAAAGUGAAAUGUUUUUGUGUUUUGUCGAAAUAAUUGACUGACCUCUUUCGCGAGUGAACCUCGACGAAAAUUUUCGUAAUAAGCGAUGAAGGAGGCCAUUUUCUUGAAGAAUAACACGGAGCAGCAGCAUCGAGGACCGAGGCAAUGAUAUGCGUUGAAAGAUUUCGGAACAAACGUAUCGAGCGAGAACCCCCGAGAUGCGCAUCAUGCCUGAUAACUCGAUCAUCGUCGGAGGUUCGUCCCGACAACGAGAUGGAAUGGUCCGAAUCAGUUGCUGCGAGGCUUGAACGCGGGGGCCGAGUAUCGGUCGUACAUCGGCCCAAGCCUUUGGCCCGCUCCGUCAAAUAAUUUAUUUGAGAGAAUGACGGUCUCUUAUCAAUACGAAGUAGCGAGCUCGACGAGCGGUGGAUUUACGAGGCUGCUCUUUAUGUGGCGUGGCUCGCUCUACAAACUCAUCUAUCGCGAACUCCUCCUCUUUUUAGCUCUAUUCGCAGCCAUUUCAACGAUCUACCGUUACGUUCUGACGAAACCGCACAAAAGAAAAUUCGAGCAAAUCGUCGUUUGGUGCGAUACCUUCAUCAGCCUUAUACCGCUGAGCUUCGUCCUCGGAUUUUACGUCGCUUACGUCGCCGCGAGAUGGUGGCAACAGUACAUCGCUAUUCCGUGGCCCGAUAAAGUGAUGCAUCUCGUCGCUUUGUACGUCACCGGAAAUGACGAGUACGGUAGAAUGCUGCGACGAGCACUUAUGAGAUAUCUAAAUCUGUCCCUCAUCCUUGUGCUGCGUUCGAUAAGUUCAGCUGUCAAGAGACGCUUCCCGACCCUCGACCACGUCGUUGACUACGGCUUUAUGACUUCCCUCGAACUGGAGCUGUUCCAAUCGGUGCCCAGCCUCGAAUUCAAUACUUACUGGAUUCCCUGCACGUGGUUCAUCAACCUGUUGAAAGAGGCACGACGCAGUCAUCGACUCCCGGACGCUCAGGGGCUCAAGAUCAUCAUGGAGGAAUUCAACGACUUUCGCUCAAAAUGCGGACUUUUGUGGAGCUACGAUUGGGUCUCCAUACCCCUCGUUUAUACUCAAGUCGUUACCUUAGCGACGUACAGUUUUUUCGUCGUUGCACUCGUCGGGAGACAAUACAUCGAGGGUGCCAAGAAGCCAUUUCAAAUGGAGGUCGAUGCUUAUUUGCCUAUAUUUACCAUUCUACAGUUCUUUUUCUACAUGGGAUUAUUGAAGGUUGCUGAACAAUUGAUAAAUCCGUUUGGCGACGACGACGAGGAUUUCGAGCUCAACUGGCUAAUCGACCGUCACACGAAGGUAUCGUAUCUCGGAGUCGACACUCUGAUGAACAGGUGUCCACCGCUGGUGAAAGACAUUUUCUACGACGCCGAGAACGUAACAUUGCCAUACACGGAAGCCGCGGCGGCCUACAAGAGGAAAACUUAUCGCGGAAGCGUAGCAAAUAUGACCGUACCGGAAGAGAAGCAAACGAUGUUUCUUCCGGAUAUAACGGAGGAGGAAGAGGACUCGAAGGCAUCGACGACUCCUCGGACUUCGACCGCGAGUGCGGUCCAUUUCCAUGAAAGUCCGAUGAACGGCAGGCGCCAGAUUAGCGAGUCCCCUUCGGCAACUCAUGCGAGAAUCGGUCGAAACGUUACUGAAACAAUUGUUGAGCUCGAUCUUCAAGAGAUCAAUGAAGAGAUCGCGCAAGCGGACAGACGCGCGAUAACGGAAGCGAUGAAGAUAACACCGGCGGGACGUUCCUCGAGGAAUUCGACCCCGCGAUUGGACCAAAACAGGAAGCCAUUUUUCACGGGGCCGAAGGCAGCCCGGGUGAAUUUGCAGCCCUGGCCGAGCGCGACGAACCUCUUACGAUUGGCCACUAAUCAGCACCAACAACAAACAGCCGCGGAAGCAACAGCUUCUUGCACGAAAAAAGAUAAGGAGCCGGAGCACGAAGCUUCCGAAAGAAGAGGUUCUACGACGCCCUCGAAGAGGCCACCCUUGAUCAGCAUCAGUCGUUACGAUCCGUCCCAGGAUGACGGAGACGACACCGAAACGGAAGAGGAAGAAGUAGACGAGGAAGAAGCGGCGAGUGAAACGCGCAGCGGAGCUUUCAUAAAUUCAGCUUUUUCCCAAGAACACAUCCCCGCGGCUGAGGCCGAAUCGCCACCGGCUUGUCGAUGUUAUGACGACAACUGUGCCAAUAAGCCUGACGACCGUUCCGACCUUUGUCAAUUCCAGUGCCUUCACAACGAGAGCUGCAGGCACGAGCGAGAACCAAUCGACGAACCGCCGGAGCUGGAACCCGGGCAAACGACACCGCGACGACGCCGGCUCAACAGUUGCCCCAAAUUGUUGAUGCGUCGCCAAAGCUCAACUGGCAGUCGCAAAAAGUGGAUAAGCUGGAAACGCUCCCAAGACGAAGACUCUGCCGUUAGACGAAAAACCGUCGACUCGGUACCUUCCGCUAGGAAAAUAAUCCCCCAAACCAGCAGUUCCCCCGAACUCAAAAGCUGGCCCCUGUCCGACCCGAGCAGCGACAGCGCCGCGCAUCCACCCAAAAGUGACCUUUGCCCACCCGAGACCAAAAAUCCCGAUGAUGAGCAAACAGAUUUUUCUCCCAAUACUUCAGAUGCACAGUGACUAUGAAAUUCCACGACGCAUAGCACACGCGGCUCAAAAUACGCCACCGCAAGUUCCACCCUGUCGGGUCAUUCAGACCCGGCAUUCUGUAGCAAGUUGACAAUUUUAUUUUUUUGAGCGAGUGACGAAUGAUCGAAGUUUCCAUUUUUUCGGAAAUUCUGAGCGACUAGUGCCCGGGCCAUUUUUUAAUUCGAGAUGAGGUUCCGUCAUCGAAACGUACUAUAGAAAUAAACUACGCUUUCACGGACUUUGAAAUUCGAAGGAAAAAACUUCACUCCGGUUUCGGAGAUUCGAGUUGCUUUCUCAACGGUGCGGAUUGCAAAAUGAUCGAUUUUUAAGGUUAUUUCGAGGUUUUGAGAUUGGAGCGGAUGUCACGCUGUUUAAUUAAUUUCGCGAAACACUGUUUCCUUAUAUUCACUCAGGAAUUCCUCGUCACUGAAAUUGGUACGCGCUGCGGCAAACUUGUGCGUUUGAUGGAUACCGAAAAUCUAGCAGGUUAUUUCUUCCUAUUUAUGCACACACCGAAUAUCGCAUCGUCAUUUUAGUGUGAAGACAUUUUGAAAGCGUUAUUUUUGCUAGUCGCUUUCCGUCGCAGUUGCAUCGAUACAGUAUUUUUAGUGGGGCUUUUACUUUUGAGAUAACGUGUAAAUACUGUAAAUAUAUACCAUUUUAAGAUAUACGAAUAUAUUUGACAGUUCGACAAAA